GACGAACGCUGGCGGCGUGCUUAACACAUGCAAGUCGAACGGAAAGGCCCUGCUUUUGUGGGGUGCUCGAGUGGCGAACGGGUGAGUAACACGUGUGUAACCUGCCCUUGACUUUGGGAUAACUUCAGGAAACUGGGGCUAAUACCGGAUAGGAGCUCCUGCUGCAUGGUGGGGGAUGGAAAGAUUCGGCGGUUGGGGAUGGACUCGCGGGUUAUCAGCUUGUUGGUGGGGUAGUGGCUGACCAAGGCUUUGACGGGUAGCCGGCCUGAGAGGGUGACCGGCCACAUUGGGACUGAGAUACGGCCCAGACUCCUACGGGAGGCAGCAGUGGGGAAUAUUGCACAAUGGGCGGAAGCCUGAUGCAGCAACGCCGCGUGCGGGAUGACGGCCUUCGGGUUGUAAACCGCUUUCGCCUGUGACGAAGCGUGAGUGACGGUAAUGGGUAAAGAAGCACCGGCUAACUACGUG
rnacentral:rRNA from 1 species